GUAGGGAAUCUUGCGCAAUGGGCGAAAGCCUGACGCAGCCAUGCCGCGUGAAUGAUGAAGGUCUUAGGAUUGUAAAAUUCUUUCACCGGGGACGAUAAUGACGGUACCCGGAGAAGAAGCCCCGGCUAACUUCGUGCCAGCAGCCGCGGUAAUACGAAGGGGGCUAGCGUUGCUCGGAAUUACUGGGCGUAAAGGGAGCGUAGGCGGAUAGUUUAGUCAGAGGUGAAAGCCCAGGGCUCAACCUUGGAAUUGCCUUUGAUACUGGCUAUCUUGAGUAUGGAAGAGGUAUGUGGAACUCCGAGUGUAGAGGUGAAAUUCGUAGAUAUUCGGAAGAACACCAGUGGCGAAGGCGACAUACUGGUCCAUUACUGACGCUGAGGCUCGAAAGCGUGGGGAGCAAACAGGAUUAGAUACCCGUGUAGUCC
rnacentral:rRNA from 1 species